AUAUCAAUAAGCGGAGGAAAAGAAACCAACAGGGAUUGCCCUAGUAACGGCGAGUGAAGCGGCAACAGCUCAAAUUUGAAAUCUGGCCCUCGGGUCCGAGUUGUAAUUUGUAGAGGAUGCUUUUGGUGCGGUGCCUUCCGAGUUCCCUGGAACGGGACGCCAUAGAGGGUGAGAGCCCCGUCUGGUCGGACACCAAGCCUCUGUAAAGCUCCUUCGACGAGUCGAGUAGUUUGGGAAUGCUGCUCUAAAUGGGAGGUAUAUGUCUUCUAAAGCUAAAUACCGGCCAGAGACCGAUAGCGCACAAGUAGAGUGAUCGAAAGAUGAAAAGCACUUUGAAAAGAGAGUUAAACAGUACGUGAAAUUGUUGAAAGGGAAGCGCUUAUGACCAGACUUGGGCCCGUCGGAUCAACCUGGGUUCUCCCGGGUGCACUCCUUCGGGUUCAGGCCAGCAUCAGUUCGGCGCGGGGGACAAAGGCUUCGGGAAUGUGGCUCCCCUCGGGGAGUGUUAUAGCCCGUUGCGCAAUACCCUGCGCUGGACUGAGGACCGCGCUUCGGCAAGGAUGCUGGCGUAAUGGUCAUCAGCGACCCGUCUUGAAACACGGACCAAGGAGUCGUCUUCGUAUGCGAGUGUUCGGGUGUUAAACCCCUACGCGUAAUGAAAGUGAACGCAGGUGAGAGCUUCGGCGCAUCAUCGACCGAUCCUGAUGUUCUCGGAUGGAUUUGAGUAAGAGCAUACGGGGCCGGACCCGAAAGAAGGUGAACUAUGCCUGUGUAGGGUGAAGCCAGAGGAAACUCUGGUGGAGGCUCGCAGCGGUUCUGACGUGCAAAUCGAUCGUCAAACAUGGGCAUGGGGGCGAAAGACUAAUCGAACCUUCUAGUAGCUGGUUUCCGC
rnacentral:rRNA from 1 species